rnacentral:rRNA from 1 species
GACGAACGCUGGCGGCGUGCUUAACACAUGCAAGUCGAACGGAAAGGCCCUGCUUGCAGGGUACUCGAGUGGCGAACGGGUGAGUAACACGUGGGUGAUCUGCCCUGCACUUCGGGAUAAGCUUGGGAAACUGGGUCUAAUACCGGAUAGGAGCCAUCUUUAGUGUGGUGGUUGGAAAGUUUUUUCGGUGUAGGAUGAGCUCGCGGCCUAUCAGCUUGUUGGUGGGGUAAUGGCCUACCAAGGCGGCGACGGGUAGCCGGCCUGAGAGGGUGUACGGCCACAUUGGGACUGAGAUACGGCCCAGACUCCUACGGGAGGCAGCAGUGGGGAAUAUUGCACAAUGGGCGCAAGCCUGAUGCAGCGACGCCGCGUGGGGGAUGAAGGCCUUCGGGUUGUAAACCCCUUUCGCUAGGGACGAAGCUUUUUUGUGACGGUACCUAGAUAAGAAGCACCGGCUAACUACGUG